GGAGAGAUGACCGAGGGGCCGAAGGUGCACGCUUGGAAAGCGUGUGUACUCAUAACGGGUACCGUGGGUUCGAAUCCCACUCUCUCCG
rnacentral:tRNA from 1 species